AGAUUGAACGCUGGCGGCAGGCCUAACACAUGCAAGUCGAGCGGUAGAGAGGUGCUUGCAUCUCUUGAGAGCGGCGGACGGGUGAGUAAUGCCUAGGAAUCUGCCUAGUGGUGGGGGAUAACGUUCGGAAACGGACGCUAAUACCGCAUACGUCCUACGGGAGAAAGCGGGGGACCUUCGGGCCUCGCGCCAUUAGAUGAGCCUAGGUCGGAUUAGCUAGUUGGUGAGGUAAUGGCUCACCAAGGCGACGAUCCGUAACUGGUCUGAGAGGAUGAUCAGUCACACUGGAACUGAGACACGGUCCAGACUCCUACGGGAGGCAGCAGUGGGGAAUAUUGGACAAUGGGCGAAAGCCUGAUCCAGCCAUGCCGCGUGUGUGAAGAAGGUCUUCGGAUUGAAAGCACUUUAAGUUGGAGGAAGGUUGUAACCUAAUACGUUGCAACUUUGACGUUACGACAGAAUAAGCACCGGCUAACUUCGUGCCAACAGCGCGUAAC
rnacentral:rRNA from 1 species